GGGGAUAUAGCACAGUUGGUAGCGCGAUACGUUCGCAACGUAUAGGUCGCCGGUUCGAAUCCGGCUAUCUCCACCA
rnacentral:tRNA from 1 species